rnacentral:lncRNA from 1 species
CUUGGAUUGGGUUUCGACAUUCUCCUGAAUCUUGAUGAUCUUUGUCAUUUUGGCCAUUUCAGCCUGCUAAAGAACCCCUGGUGGGAAAUUAGUGUGUUCAUUUGGAGGAAAGAAGCCACGAUGCCUUUUUGAGUUGUAAGAGUUCUUGUGCUUUUUCUUUCUCAUCAGUGUGGGCUGGUGUUCCUUUAACUAGGGUAUAAAUUGAUUACAGUCAGUAGAUUUCUUUUCUGUGUGUUUUCAGAGGGCCAAGGCUUUGUUCAGUCUUUAUUUGCAGUGAAAUUUUUGUCCUGGGUUUCACAGGGAGGUAUAUUAGCAGAGUAUUUUGGUGUUGAUGUUUUGGGCCGUGAUCCAGUAGGUGGUGCUUAAGCAUAAUUUCCAGUAGGUAGGCUGUUGCUCAGUCAUGUGGCUCUUCACAGUUGUUUCUGUGCUCCCUCUUAGUGCUCUGAAAUCUUGGGCUCCUCUCCCUCUUGAUUGCUGGCUGAAAAUCUUGGCUUGGCACUCCCAAGCUGCACACCACAGCUCUGGGACAAUCUCAAGCUUUAUAUCCCUUCCCAUCUUGGAGGAAUCAGAGGAAGGAAAGUUAGCAGUGGUUGUGACAGAGGGUUUUUCACUUGUCUCUUGGAGCUCCACCUCAGAAAGACGCAGAGCUGCUAUCAAUCAGUAUGAUUGGCCUAGGAUGGGGCAGCUGUGCUGUGAGACCAACCCAUGGCAGACAUCCAGCUGAUCACACUGUGUCCACAUAAGGCAAAUGCUGAGCUGUAAUCCAUCAAGCUGUUUCCGCAUAGAGAAAAGGCCAUAUGAGUACACAGCCAGAAGGUGUCUGCCUACAAGACAAAGAGGGAAAACUUACCUGAAACCAACCCUGAUGGAUAUUGGAUUUCUAAGCUCCAGAACUGUGAGAAAAUUAAUUUUAUGUGCUUUAAGACACUCAAUUUGUGGUAUUCUGUUAUGGCAGCCUAUGCUAGUCAAUUUGCAUUACCAUAAAGCAACACCUGAGAGUGGGUAAAUUAUAAAGAAAAGAAGUUGAAUCGGCUCAUGGUUCUGCAGGCAGUACAGAAGCAUAGUGCUGGCAAUUGCCCCUGGCAAGGGGCUCAGGAAGCUUACAAACAUGGCAGAAGGCAAAGGGAAGCCAACAUAUCACACGUAAGCUCAGGAAGCUUACAAACAUGGCAGAAGGCAAAGGGAAGCCAACAUAUCACGUGGCGAGAAAGACAGAGAAGCGGUAGGUCCCAGACUCUUUUAAACAACAAGACCUCAUGUGAACUGAGGGGAAACUCACUUUCACCAAGGAGAUGGUGCUAAACCACUAAUGAGGGAUCUGUCCCAUGAGCCAAUCACCUCCCACCAAGACCUACCUCCAAUUUUGGAAAUUAUAUUUCAACAUGAGAUUUGGAGGGGACAAACAUCCAAACCAUAUCCCAGCCUGAGCAGACUAACAGAGUCUCUGAAUAAAUCUAUGAAAAUGACUAGAGUAUUAUUUUGUUGAGUGAUUUCUUCUUGUAUUAGGAUUGGUCUCCUUGAAAAUAUUUUUCUCAUAUCUGUUAUAAUAAAAUACUGAGAAUCAUACUAAUUCUACUCUAAACUUAGAUAUUUAAGAGGGUUGGAUUUGACUGAUUGCUCUGAUGUUGCUAACAUAGUCAAAGACUUUUCAAAACUAAAGUGUAAUAUUAUGUCAUGCAACCUUGAGAAAAUUACAAUGGACAAAGCAGAACUAUAAUUCACAAUUCAUCUCCCAAACAAAUUGUGACACCCCUUCUUUCCAAUCCACUGAAAUAUGCCUAAAAUGAGAAAAAAGGGAAAUCUUAAAAACAACAACAACAACAACAAAGAAAAAACAGAAAACGGCAACAUUCAGGCAAAAAAGAAUGUGAGGACUAUGAUGCUGGCAUGCUAAACUUAAUUAAUAAUAAAUGAGAGAGUUUGGAAUGAU